AUUGAACGCUGGCGGCAUGCUUUACACAUGCAAGUCGAGCGGCAGCGCGGGGGCAACCCUGGCGGCGAGCGGCGAACGGGUGAGGAAUACAUCGGAACGUACCCCGGAGUGGGGGAUAACGCCGCGAAAGCGGCGCUAAUACCGCAUAUGCUCUGAGGAGGAAAGUGGGGGACCGCAAGGCCUCACGCUCUGGGAGCGGCCGAUGUCCGAUUAGCUAGUUGGUGGGGUAAAGGCCCACCAAGGCGACGAUCGGUAGCUGGUCUGAGAGGAUGAUCAGCCACACUGGGACUGAGACACGGCCCAGACUCCUACGGGAGGCAGCAGUGGGGAAUUUUGGACAAGUGGGCGAAAGCCUGAUCCAGCCAUGCCGCGUGAGUGAAGAAGGCC
rnacentral:rRNA from 1 species